UGGCUCAGGACGAACGCUGGCGGCGUGCUUAACACAUGCAAGUCGAACGAGGUUGCAGGAGAGCUUGCUCGAAUGUAACCGAGUGGCGGACGGGUGAGUAACGCGUGAGGAACCUGUCUCACACAGGGGGAUAACGCAUCGAAAGAUGUGCUAAUACCGCAUAUGACCACAGCAUCGCAUGGUGCAGAGGUGAAAGGAGCAAUCCGGUGUGAGGUGGACUCGCGUCUGAUUAGAUAGUUGGUGAGGUAACGGCCCACCAAGUCAACGAUCAGUAGCCGACCUGAGAGGGUGAUCGGCCACAUUGGGACUGAGACACGGCCCAGACUCCUACGGGAGGCAGCAGUGGGGAAUAUUGGGCAAUGGGCGAAAGCCUGACCCAGCAACGCCGCGUGAGGGAAGACGGUUUUCGGAUUGUAAACCUCUGUCUUUGGUGAAGAAGAAAGUGACGGUAGCCAAGGAGGAAGCCACGGCUAACUACGUGCC
rnacentral:rRNA from 1 species